AGAGAUGUACAGUCAACACUCAAGAAGCCGCACGGGAGUGGAUUCUCGGAUGUUAAGCCAGGGAGAGCGGACCUCACACCGCACGGAGCGAAGCUCACUGAUAGAAGGGCACUUACUGGAGACUCUGGAUAUAGUGAGUUAGCUAGUGCAGCUAGUGUUGGCCUGACAGUUUUCUUGGUUGGCUGACUGGAACUUGGGACUCAACAGUGACCUACGGUGACUAAGGUGAGAAACCUGAACUGCCCAGGCAUAAACUGGAGAGGGAGAUCCAAAGACCUGGGGAGGCAGAAAUGCAGGCUGGGGUCCACAUUCUACCAGAAGGCAUCUACCUCUUUAGUCACUCGACAUCUGACCUCACCUGUUCCAGUCGCUGGAUGGUUUCUCUCCUCACUGGAAUGUCUGCAGACUAAGCCCCGCCCCAGCCCCUCCCGGCCCCUGGGGCCCUCCCCGCCCGAGGACCGGCUGGGCUGGGCUGGAGAACAACACGGGCACCUCCGGACCGAAGGCGGAGAGAGCCGGACCCAGGCCCAGGGCGCUGGAGUUGGCCGGAGCUGGCCCCAGAGCAGAUGCUUCCUGAAGGCCGGCUCUGGGCCAGGCCACGCUGGCAGGCCUGCCUCCAUGGAAGAAGUGCCAGGUUGGUCAGGUGAUGGAAGCUGAAGGUGUACCCACUCCACCAUGGAGAGGCAUCACAGAGCAAGGCCUAAGAGACAUGAAGCCUCGACCUGUGGCAGCCAUCUUGUGAACAUGAGGCAACAACUACAGGAAGAAAGUCAAGCUGCCCACGAUGAUGAAGCAGAAACAUAGGAAGUCUGGAUUCCUGACUGUGGUACUGAGCAGAAUGGAUUUCUAAUUAAAGACCUAAGGACAGACAGAAUGAGAGGGGAAGUGAUAGCUAGGGGACAGGAGGGGACAGGGGUGCACUGCGGGACUCCAGCUUGGGUAAAUGGGUGGAUGGUGGCACCAUCACUGAGAAAUGGCCUAAGGAAGGAAGAGGAGCAAGUCUGGGAGGAAGGUGCUGAGGUCAAGUCCGGACAGGCUGAAAUCGGUGAGGGACACCCAGGGUGAGAAGUCAAGCAGAACUGGGGCUAAGAGGUGAAGUCUAGCUGGAGACCUGGGAGCCCCGGCAAAGAGAUGGGCGGUAAGCAGGACCGCAUGGAAGGUAAAACGGACAGUCAGGUCGGCCUCUGCAGGAUGCCCUGUUCCCAGGCCUCAUGUCCCACAGGCCUAGCCUCCCGUCACAGUCCGGGAACCGAUGAAUAAUACUUGCUUCCAAGUGGGGAGCCAAUUAAAAGUUAAUUGACUGCCGGUGCCAAGCGAGUGGGUGGAUGCUGAGUACUUGGCUGGGCUGUCAAGGGUGGCGUGGGGAGGAGCCUGAGGAGGAGGAAUCCCUAGGAAACGGGACAUAGGCUAGUAGCAGAGGUCAUGGCUGCCUAUCCAGCAUCCGAUCCCUCUUGUCUUUACUAACAGGUCUCAUUAUACCACCGGCAGCAACUGCCCAGGCUGACAGACUACUUUCUCAGUGUCCCUGGCAGCUGGGAGUGACCAGUGACACGUGUGGUGUUAUUUGGUGGGUCUACCUAGAAAGUUCUAUAAAUGUGGGUGUGGGGAGAUAGCUGGGCAGUGCCAUGUCCGACCUUCCACCUUCCUUCUACUUCCUGCCUGGAGUAAGACGUGAUGGAGGGCUCCAGCAGCCAUUUGGUUCCUGAGGGGCCCUAGAGGCUAGAAGCCAGUGCUGGGUGUCCAGCGACAUUGUGGUGUACCAGUCCCAACCACCUGUUUCCACGUUUCUUUUAUGCAAGAAAAGGAAACUACUAAUCUGUUUAAACUAUUGCUUUUAUUUUUGUUAUGAUUUGGGGGGUGUUGAGGGAGGGCUGUCUGCUACCUAUAGCUGAGCGUCAUCCCAGCUAAUAAAGGCUGGAACCUGAUGGCCAAGCUGAUCUUACUGAGGGUUCCCAUUGUUGGCCAAUGGCAAAGGGACCUGAUGUGCGCGUCUCACGGAACUCCCACCCCACCUUGUGGGAUGUGUUCUCUUGUUAUUUCUACUUUUUUUUUUUUUUUUUUUUUAUUUCUACUUUUUUUCUUCAAUACACUAAGGGAACUGAGGCAAAGACAAGAAAAA